GCAUAAUUCAAAGUGCAAGCUAGACAAACAUAAACAAUGCACUCCAUUUCAAAACUCUAAUGCUGAGACCUAAUUUUACCAUUGUUUUAUCCCAUUUUCCCCCCAGAAGCUUAGACACUUGAUGUCUCUGUACUCGGGCUAUUUCUGACAGAGCCACAAGGACCGAGGAGAAUGAUUAUCACUGAUCUGAGGUCUGUUUUAGAAGGAAAAACUCCAAUGUCGUUUGGGAUUAGCUCUGAAUUUGUUCACCUCUCUGUUCAUCAACUUUAGGAAAAUGUGCCUUACUUCAAAAUGUAAGUUCUGGAAAAGGCUAAACUAUUUUUUUUAUUAACUAACAUGAAGCUAUUUGUUACAGUAAUCAAUUUCGGGUUGAAAGAGUCACUCAUCAGAAAUGCCAGUGUUCAUUCCACAGAGAUCCUAUUAAAUUAGUUACAAUUCUAUAGUUCAUCCAUCCAUCAGCCACCCACCCAUCCAUUCCUUCAUUCAUACAAUGUUUGUCCAUUCAUCCAUCUAUCCCUCCCUCCCUUUCUUCAUCCCUCCAUCUAUCCAAUUCAAUCACAAAUGUAUUGAAUGGAUGAAUUGCGUGCCCAUAGUGAACUGCAUCAAAAUCUGUCCUAAAUUGCUAAUAGAUGCAUAUUAUUAUUACUAUUGGAUAGAAAACACUCUGGAGUUUCUAAAACUGUUUGAAUUAUGUAUAUGAGUAUAACAGAACUCAUAGGGCAGGCAAUCUUCCAAACAAGUUUUGAAAUUCUGAAAGUUGGGGCAACUUUGACGUCAUCGCCCCCUCCAUUCCCAACAAGUUAUGGAUCUGGAAACACUUCCUACGCCUUCCACUGGAUGUCCUCGUUCAGUAGAAAGUGUAAUGGAGCAUUUGCUGUGAACUUUGACCUAAUGGGAGGGAAAAUAGUCGGUGUGGCAAGCGAAUGUCAUUUUGUCACAUUUCUCUGUGAGUGCUACGGCUGUUCCAAUCAGCCCCAGAUGAAAACGAAUGAUCCGGUUGGAAGUUUAUUGGAUAUAUAUGAUUAUAACAUCCUGAAGAUUGAUUCCGUAGUUAGUUUGACCAGUUUUUUCGACCUGGAAUAUAUCUUUCGGAAGUUUUCAUGCAAGUUAUCCUGGACCAGAAGUCAGUUUUUUUGGCACGUGAGCUGAAAGUGAUAGCAAAUGCUGCUACUUGGACACUGUAUUGGACAUUUUGGAACAAAACAAUGAUUUAUUGUGGAACUAGGACUCCUUGGACUACAUUCUGAUGAAAGAUCAUCAAAGGAUGUCACCAGUCUUUGGAAUUGGGUUGAAGUUAAUCAUUGGUGCAACGAAGAAGAAGCACAUACUGGAACAACAUUACACUGUUGAGAGUUACGUAAGAGGAAAAAAGGUGCAUGUUUUGUUUACUUGCUCUAUUGAAUACAGAUUGUCACAUCUACAAUUUGAUUGAUUAUUAACGUUUAAAAAUACCUAAAAUUGUAUUACAAAAGUAGUUUGAAAUAUUUUGGCAAAGUUUAUAGGCAACUUUUGAAAUGUUUUGUAGUGACGAUGUGUUUUGGCAAGCUGUUUUUUUCUGGAUCAAACCUGCUUUAUAAAUGGACAUUUUGGGUAUACAUGGACGGAAUUAAUCGAAAGGACCAAUUGUGAUGUUUAUGGGACAUAUUGGAGUGCCAACAAAAAAGCUUGUGAAAGGACAUCCAGGCUAUGUAACAGCUAUUUUAUCAAAAAAGUCAGUGAUGGAGUGCCGCAUCAGAUGACCUGGCACCUACAAUCACCCAACCUCAAUCCAAUUGAGAUGGUGUGGGAUGUUUUGGACAGCAGAGUGAAGGAAAAGCAGCCAACAAGUGCACAUAUGCAGCAGUGCUCAUAUGCUAGAACUCCUUCAAGAACGUUGGAAAAGCAUUCCAGAUGAAGCUGGUUGAGAGAAUACCAAGAGUGUGCAAAACUGUCAUCAAGAAAAAGGGCCGGUGGUGGCUGGUCCCCUGCAAGAAGGUGAGGUGCCUGAGGACCCUCCGCCCCCUCUGGACAUCGAGGGGUCCCCGGCGUAUACAGUUCGAAGCAUUCUAGAUUCUAGACGCCGGGUAGGGGGCCUACAGUACCUCGUGGACUGGGAGGGGUACGGUCCGGAGGAGAGAUGCUGGGUUCCGGUGAGGGAUAUUUUGGACCCUUCACUCCUGAGAGAUUUCCACCGCCUCCACCCGGAUCGCCCAGCACCUCGGCCUCCGGGUCGUCCUCGAGGACGGUGGCGGAGCGCUGCGGGAGCCGAGCGUCAAGGGGGGGGGGGUACUGUCACGACUUCCGCCGAGGUUGGCUCUCCUGCCCAUUCGGGCGGUGCUCGGCGGUCGUCGUCACCGUCCUAUUAGCCACUACUGAUCCCUUUUUCGUGUUUCUGUUGGUUAUGUCUAAUUGGUUUCACGUGUGUGUUGUUUAGUUAAUUAGUGUCUGUAAUUAAUGUAGGUUGUCCAGCCCUUGUUUUGUGGGGGAUUGUUUAUUUUGUCAUUUCAUUUUGUCUGUCGGUGUUUGCUGUUUGUUAUUUCUCCGGUUAGUCUUUAUCCUGUUUUGGAUAUUUUCACCCUGUCUUAAUUUUGGGUUGACUGUUGUUUGUUUUUUGUU